rnacentral:rRNA from 1 species
GAUGAACGCUAGCGGGAGGCUUAACACAUGCAAGUCGAGGGGCAGCAUAGGGUAGCAAUACUCUGAUGGCGACCGGCAAACGGGUGAGUAACGCGUAUGCAACCUACCCUGUACAGGGGGAUAACCCGGAGAAAUUCGGACUAAUAUCCCGUAAUAAUAUCCGGAGGCAUCUUUGGAUAUUUAAAGUUCCGACGGUACGGGAUGGGCAUGCGUAACAUUAACUGGUUGGUAAGGUAACGGCUUACCAAGGCUAUGAUGUUUAGGGGUCCUGAGAGGGUGGUCCCCCACACUGGUACUGAGACACGGACCAGACUCCUACGGGAGGCAGCAGUGAGGAAUAUUGGUCAAUGGGCGCAAGCCUGAACCAGCCAUCCCGCGUGCAGAAGACGGCCCUAUGGGUUGUAAACUGCUUUUCCUAGGGAGAGAAACUUACGCACGUGUUGCGUGACUGACGGUACCCUGGGAAUAAGCAUCGGCUAACUCCGUG